rnacentral:siRNA from 1 species
UCGAAUCUUUCUCGGACUGUAUC